GGAUCUGUGGCGCAAUGGUAUUGCAUUUGGCUUAAGAUCAAAAGGUUGGGUGUUUGAUUCACGUCGGGUUCA
rnacentral:tRNA from 1 species